rnacentral:rRNA from 1 species
GAGCCCGCACAAGCAGUGGAGUAUGUGGAUUAAUUCGAUGCAACGCGAAGAACCUUACCAGGGCUUGACAUCCCGCGGAUCCGUGAUAACGAUCGGAGUGCCCUUCGGGGAACGCGGAGACAGGUGGUGCAUGGUUGUCGUCAGCUCGUGUCGUGAGAUGUUGGGUUAAGUCCCGCAACGAGCGCAACCCUUACGAUUAGUUGCUACGGGAAGAGCACUCUAAUUGGACUGCCGUUGGCAAAACGGAGGAAGGUGGGG